UCAAAACGUGGUCAAAUCAAAAUAACAAAAAUCGUUGUUCUUAAAGUAAUUUAAGUUAGAAAAUUCAAGGAAAUUACUAGUUUAGAUAUUGACGAGUAACAAUUUAAUUAAAACAUUAUCAAAAAUGACCGAAAAUAACGGAGAACCAGAACCAAAAUCGACACUAUCAGAACCAUAGUGGAACCAUAAUAAUUUGCUUCUUGGAUUCAAGAAAUUGAUGUGUUUUUGCUUUUGCGUCCCGCAACUAUGUUGUUACCCAUCCAUUUUGAGUCCGUGCUUAGCUUGCUUGCCCAUGUGCGUCAAAGAUAUGAAGUGUUGCCAAUGUUUCAUAGUCAACUACGAUAUGGAUGAAGAAACCACAAUACCAACGAGAUGGAAAGACAAUACGAACACUGAAUAAUAAAAUGUUAUAAGGCGAUUAUAGUUUGUGUAUAUG